GUUUAAUAUGAUUUUACGUUUUUGGAGGAAUUUGACGAUAAUCCCAAGGCAUUUCAUUUCUUUGCAUAGAGCUAAUCCCUUCUUCAGAACACAGCUCAUUUUCAAGUGGCUGCUGCUGUUUUUCCCCCACCCCUUCAGUGCGACAGCCUCAGAGCUGGUGGAAAGGCAGAGCGCAGGCAGCUGGAUAAAUUUGUAGACGUGGAAUUUCCGGAUCAAAUGGUGCUCGGAGAAUUAAAGCUGUCUGGACUCAGUUCCUGGAGUUUUCUAGAAUGGUAUAAGAAGGAAAUGUAAGAGCUGUGAGAGGAGCAGAAAUAAAUAACGCUCGCCAGCCUGUUGCUGGCAGUAGUCUGAUCUAGGGAUUUAAAGGAGGUAGACUGCAACCGUCUCUUGUAGGAGGAGAUUGGAUGAUUGAGAGAGCCCUUGGAAGAGGGGAAGAGGGCUGCAUGCCCAGUGCAUAUUUGCCAUCUAGUGACCAUAGUGACUGGUGCUAUUUGUGCUUCUCAUCCCAGCCAGGCAGACUUGACCUUCACUCCUGACUUCCGCGAUCCCUUCACAACUGCAAGUCAUUCUCCUACAAAACUGGAGUUUGCCUACUCUGCGCCUUUGAGAGUUUUGGAACAGCAUGCAAGUUCACGUCGCCAUCACGUUAUCCUGCUGACUGUCUCAUGUGACGAGACCGACACCCGGGUCGCUUGCUUCUGCCCUUGUUCUUCUGCCUGUUUUCCCCUCUGCAGCCAUUGAGCACACGCACGUGUUGUCACACAAAAGCCGUUUUGCUGUUUUUAUUUGUCUUGUGAAUGUUGUCAUUUGCUUCGUGCGUAUCACGAAUUAGUGUCAUGUACUGCUCGGUGAUAUAAAACUGUCACUAAUUAGAAAUUUGCGUUGAGUCUGGGUAGGAAUGGCGCCCAAGCAGAAAAGCAAGAGCGCAGAUGCUAGAAGAGCAAAGAGGGCAAGAAAAGUGAUGUUUGCAGCAAACGAAAUGAAAGUUCUCGAAAUGCUCAAUAAUGGUGAAACCAAGACCUCUCUAGGGCCCUUUUUCCCCUUUUUUUGGCAUUAAUAAAUCUAUGGUUUGCACAAUAAAAAUAAGAAGCUAUUAGGGCCAAUCAGUCGAGGGGCACACUAGAAUCAUCGAGAACAUCAUACAUAACGUGAGAUGCCAACACAGAGACCAUGGAAAAGAUGUGCACGUGUGGCUUCUAACCCAGAGAGAGCUGCAUAGGCCUCCUCCUGUAUGCGUAAUCUGCCAGCGAGCAUCACAAAAACGCAAGUUUCAAUUUUCAUCUGGACAAAAGGUUACAACAUUCACUGUGAGUAAAGGGUGGUUGGCUAGGUUUAAGAAAUGCUGUGGUCUGUCUGAAAAGAAAUGGUCGGCAGAGGAAGCAGAUCGUGAGGCUGCUGCUGGCUACCCUGAACACCUGAGGGAAUGGAUUGAGGGAAAUGGCUAUUUCUUCAGUGCUGACGAAAUGGCCCUGUUCAGGAAGUACAUGCCUACUUGCACACCUUUUGCAAAGGAUGAGAAAAAGACCAGAGGCUUCAAGCCUGGAAAGGACAAGCUCAAAGUUCUGUUUUGUUCCAACGGUUCUGGUGAUUGAUUAAACCCACAUUGCUUCACAGAUUGCGAAGUCCUUGCCCUCUUAAAAGAGAAUGCUAGAAACACUUUUCUGUUUACAUGAAGGGAAACCAUAAAGUAGGGAUCACUGAGAAACUCUUUUGGGGCCAGUUUUUGAAGUCUUCAUUCCUGAGGUUAGACAAUAUUUAAACCAAAAACAAACAAACAAACAAAAAACAAAAAACAAAAAAACCCUUGAAUUCAAAGUUGCUGCUUUUGGACACCUGCUCCUACUGCCAAAAGUGCGAUAGUAAAUGCUGAUCCUUGUGUUCCAGUCACCUCCACCCCCCAGUACGACUCCACUCCUUCAACCCAAGCAUCUGGGAGUGCUGAAAAUUGUUUGUGAGGUACUGUACUUGGCAUAUAUUUGAUUACCUUGCAGAUCGUAUGAGAGAGACACCAGAACUGACUGGGAGAGUAGCUUGACAAAAUUUCCCCAUUUGUAAUGCUUUAACAAUAGUGGAAGAAUCAAUGCGAGAAAUAACACAGGCAACCCUUAAUGGAGCCUGGCACAAACUUGGGAAUGAGGUUGUAAUGGACUCUGCAAGUUUUCUCCCAGUGGUAGACGAAACUGCAAAGGUUGUAGCAUCUGCAAACAUUUGGGUGGUGAAGGAUUUGAAGACAUUGAUUUAAGUGACAUUUUGCUGAAGUGUUAGAUUCUCACCCUCAGAAGAUAGUUGAGAACUUUUUCAGAGAUGGGAUCACAUCAAAAGUUGAUACCACAGGUCAGCAUAGGUUAACAUCCAGAACUCAAAGAAUGUAGGAGCAGCUGUUCCACAAGUCAAAUUGCUGUGAUGAUUCAGAGGAAAGAGAUCCUUCGAUGGAAUAUUUGUUGACCUGAAGGCAAGAUUUAAACGAUUACCCACAACCCUAUAAAGCAGUAAUAAGAAACCUUCAAAUGAAGGCCAAUAAGUCUUUGUCUCUGUUUGCUUCAACAGGGAAGAAGAGGCUGGACCUUCGGGCCAUGUCAUUCAAACCCAUUCUACAAACAGCAGGCAGAAAGGCCACACACAGAUAGUUGAGCCUUGGGAUUCAGACUCCAACAGCUCUGAUGAUGAUGUGAUCCAAGUGCUGGAAGAUGAAAGCAGAACGGAAGGUUGAGCUUACUUCUCUCCAGACAAAACCCAAUUGUCUUGAUUCUUUCCCUGUCACUACUGUGAUGACCAGCAUUUUCGCUGACGCAUGAUUGUCCUGACUUCGCGAUCAGAGAGAAACAGCAAUCGGUUGCCCAGUCAUCACUAUUACUGAUGUGAAAUUAGUAAAAUACCAACAAGAUUCACUUUACUUAGUGUCUUAUUUCAGCGAACAGACCAAGUGUCUGGGCUGUCGUAAUACCCACUUCCCUGCUGCAAUUUCCCCCCGAGGCUCAUAAGUCCCUCCGACACAGAUUCCUCUACAGUGAGGGUUCCAGGAAGUCAACUCUAAUACGUAGGGAGGGGGGUUACUCUAUGUGGUUGGACAACUUGAUUUUGUACUCUUGAUACUGACAUUUAUUUUAAUCUUACUUAAGCCUAACUUGCCAUGUUGACAGAAAGAAUCUAGACUCAUUCGUUUGGUAUCAGUUAAUUUGUUUUCCAGCAGUUGUAGAUGUAGCCAUUGGUCAGUCUUUAAGGCAGUGCGUUUAAAAUGCAUUCUGGGAUUUACUCGUGGUAUCUACUCAAGGAGUAAAAGCUGCCAGAGUUCAUCUCCAUUGAUCCUCUCUGUUGUCCUAUCUGGUCUUCCCAGCGAUUUGCAUAUUUAAACACCCUCUGGGAAAGGGAUAUCGCAACUUCUUCCCGAAAGGUGGUAGAAAUCCAAUGAUCCACACCACCCUCGGCGGCUGAAGGUUUGAAUGCUAGCUUACCUAUAUCUGAGUUUGAAGUGGUCAGAGGAAAGGGAAGAAAAUCCAAGAGUUAAAAGGGCUUGCUUGCAUAGGUACAGUUGAGAUAUCAGGCUUUCCCCAACAGGUUCAAAAGAGGCAAGUGAGGGUUGAAAACUCAUUUUCAGGUGCUGUGGGUCGAGCGGCCCGCCACAGUACCAGAGGAGCUCACUCCCUUGCCUUACAGUAGUUCUCGACACAUCAAAAUCCCGUUGGGGGGCUUUGAAAAAUACAGGUUUCGGGGACCUGCCCCUGGAUGUACUGAAUCAGGGACGGGGUCAGCACCUGCGUAUUUUGAAAGCUCCUCAACCGAUGUUUUAUACAGCCAUGGUUGUUAACUGCUGCUCUCAGUCUGAACAGAAUUCUAAUAGAAAAUGUAAUACAAAUGGCAGUGGGCCCAGCAGCUAGGAAACCCUGAUUCUAACUUUCGGCUCCACCACUAACUCAAUGGAUGGUCUUAUUCAAAUCACCCUACUUUUCCCUUAUCUGUCAAGUGAAAGAAUAGGACCACUUGGUCUCUAAGGUCCCUCUCUCUCUGCACCUUGCAAGAAAGGUGCAUCAACCUCACUGGUUGGUUGUGAGUGUGCCUGAGCCCUUUCAUAGAGACCAAGGUAAGUAGCAGCAUUACUGUACCGUGUUCCUGUUAUUUUAAAAAUCGUGCUUCUGGUUCAAGUUUUACUAUGUUUUAGUGCCUUCCAGAAAAGAGAGUUAGGCAUGGAAAAACGAGAAACAAACAUGGCAUCAACUUCCUGAAAAGAAAGACAGAGAGGACUUCCUAUGAGUUUCUUCUUUGUGUUAAUGGUGAUUUUUCUUCCUGAGUUACAGGGCUUGGGGAAAAUAAUAAUGCAUAGAUAUUAUGAGUAAAACAUCUUAACAUGUUGUAUCUAUCGUUUUCAUAAACCAAAGCAGAGAACUCUGUAUGGUUACUGUUUCAGGUUUCCAUGGAUAACUGGUACAUUCUUAAUCAUAUCUAGAGGUAAAUAUUUUUAAGUCGGUGACUAUUUUACCAGUAUAAUCAGUGGUUCCAUGUGCCUUUAGAGAAUGUGGUUUCCUGAGAAUUUUACCAUUUCUUGAGAUUACUGCCUUGCCAUUUUAUUUCUCUUAAAUUUGACCAGAAUUAGAGAAAUCAAAUUUAAGUUGAACAGCAUCGAGCAGGAACCACUAAUAUAAGAAUAAUGCAAUGGGAAACCAACUAUUAUAUCAGUUUAGUUGUCACAGAAAUGCCUAGACUUUGGCUUGAGAGGCGGAAAUGUUUGUCUAGGGACCAGGCCAUUUGAAAUAAAAUAAUUGAGAUAAAUCUAAUUCUUGUUUAAUGCAAUAUCCAGUUAAAAUAAUCUAAGAAGUUUCAUUGAUGACGGUAAAAUCUAGAACAUUUCAAUAUGGCUGAGUUUAACAAGUCAGCAGAACUCACAGGUGGAUUUGAAAGUUGGUAUAGACCUAAACAGUAGAAAUAGAAAUGAAUGCCAACAUUGCCAUGCAAAUGGGCGUUUCCUCUUUCUUGUUUUAAAAUUAAGAAUAGUCCCCCAAAUUGACAAGCUGAAAUUUCUUCUAGAAGAUGGUAUGCACAGUUUGGGUGAAAAGAACCAUUGUCAAAUGGUUCAGGUAAGUUGUUGUGUUCACUAUUAUGAAAUGCAUGGAGCUUUCCUUCUUUACAGACAUAUUUAACCACUGGAAAAAGAAAAGAAAAGGAAAAGGAGGUGGGGAGAAAGGGCAGCCCAGGUUGAUGACACUUGUAGAGAAUAUUAGAAAACUGGUAUUACAUUUAAAAAGAGCCCUUUGUUUGUUUAAAAUCUUUUCCGUUCAAAAUGCAGACAAGGCUCUUUAAACCACACAUUUGGAUUACACAGCUGCCACCACCUGAAUGCUAAUAAAGGGCUUCUACGGCGUGUCUAGCCGAAGAGUGUGCGAAGCACGUUUGUGCCAUGGAAUAUAUUGAUCACUGAACUUUACAUAGAGUUACCUUUUAAUGGUCUUGAUGUCAAUGUGCUAUGGUUGUUUAUCUAAGAAUUCAGAAAUAAAUUGUGGCAUGAA